rnacentral:lncRNA from 1 species
GUAUCACCCAAAUAUGUUAAGAUGUAAAAGAUUCCCUGAUAAAUAUAGCUGAUAUAACUAUUUGCUAUCAAGCAAAGUAAAAAAUAUACAUAUACUUACUGACAUGGGCACUGUACCCCAGAAACCCAGGCGAACUAUUAUCAGGGAAACUCCCUUGCUUUGCCUCCUCCAGACUCCGAAUUUAGAAACACCCAAUGACCCCACCUAGGGUCCUGAGAUAUUUACCUUCUUUUGUCCUCUAGAUUUAAGAUGGACAAAGAGAUGAAUAUUUAGGCCUCCAGGCAGACCCAAGUCAGAUGACCACCUCAUCCCACCAAAUGCCUGAGUCACAUCUCCACCAGGACAUAGCAUCUGUUGUAAAAAGAAUUGUGGUGCUCCAUGAUUCCUCCCUCAGUGAAUAUUGCUAUUAAAGAAUCAUUCUCUCCAUAAUACCGAGAAAUAAAGUGGAACAAGUAGUACUGGGUCUUAACUUUUAAACAAUGUUCCUUCCUGUGACUACAAAACAUCUAAAUCUCUUAUGUUCUUUUCUCCUGACUCAGCUUCAGUUGUCCUCCUGAUGGCGUCAUACUUCUCCCCACGUCUCAUUCUCCGCACCCCUUCGAGACCCCUGAAUGCUUGUCAGUAUCACCUAACAAAAUGAGAUAAUGAAGGUCAUUUUACAGAUGAAGAAAUUAAGACAAAGUGGAUUAAGUGAUUUGCUCAAGGUCACGCAGCCAGUAUGUGUCUGAAGUCAGAUUUGGACAUCGGAAAUGAGUCUUCCUGACUCCAAACCUGGCACCCUACUACAUCACCUACCUGCCCAAGGGACUAUUACAAUAGUCCAAGAAAAAGGCAAUGUGACCUUGAUCUAGGCCUAAGGGUAGUGUAAGUAGAGAGAAGGAUGUGAGAUAUGUCAUGGCCAUACAAUCCACAAUACUUUAAAACUGAAUAGAUAUUAGGGAAGGAGGGCCAUGCGGAAGCAAGAGGUCAAGGAUAACUCUAAAUUUGCAAACCUGGAUAAGCAGUAGUAGUAGAGUGAGACUAGAAGGGUUAUCUUGGUAAAUGUUUCUCUGACAUUAAAAAAAAAAAUGUUCCCAGCAGACUUUUAAGUCUGAUCUACAUUAUUUACAUUUUCUCCAGUACUAUCUUAAAACUAAACUAGCAUUGGCCAGUUUUUUCAGGAAAGAGCCAAAGAGUAAAUAUUUCAGGUUUUGCAGGGCAAGAAACAAAAUCAAUAAUAUUGAUAAGGUUCUUAUAUGACAAAAGUGAAACAAAUUUCCGCAAAGUAUUUUACUAACAAAAUUCAAAAUAUAAUAAUUACAUUGUCUUGUAAUACAGGUCUACUCAUGAGAAAAAUGGAAUUCUUCAAUUAAAAAAAAAUACCCUG